rnacentral:rRNA from 1 species
AUGGCGCUCUACGCGGUGGUGCCAGACUCCCAGAUACGGGACGCAACCGUGGAGAGGUUCCUCAAAGAGAUCGCCGGGGAGAAGCCCAUCCGGUUCACCCCGCAGCAGCUCUCGGGCUUCACAGACAACUAUUCCACCCGACUCGGCGCCGUCUACAUGGGCAUGCUGCCCAACGGCCUCGCGGUCGCCGUGAAGCGCCUCCACCCGGGCCAAGACGACAGGACCUCGCAGGAGCAGUUCAUGGCGGAGGUGGGCACCAUCGGGAGGACGCACCACAUCAACCUGGUCAGGCUCGGCUUCUGCUACGACGCCGACGUGCGCGCGCUAAGAGAUGAGAUUUAG